UGUUUACCACUGUCAUGUUAAACAAGAAUUUCCUCAAAUCCAGACAUGACUUUCCUUUAAAUAAUUUCUUGCUGUGACCUCUUUUGUUGUCUUCUAAGAAUGGUAGAUGAGUACAUUCACUUACAGUAUGCAUCUUGUGCUUUGUGAGGCACAAACUCUGAAACAUAACUGAGUGGAUUC